GAUGAACGCUGGCGGCGUGCUUAACACAUGCAAGUCGAACGAUGAACGAGGGAGCUUGCUCCCUCCGGAUCAGUGGCGAACGGGUGAGUAACACGUGAGCAAUCUGCCCCGAACUCUGGGAUAAGCGCUGGAAACGGCGUCUAAUACCGGAUACGACGCGCGAAGGCAUCUUCUGCGCGUGGAAAGAAUUUCGGUUCGGGAUGAGCUCGCGGCCUAUCAGCUAGUUGGGGAGGUAACGGCUCACCAAGGCGACGACGGGUAGCCGGCCAGAGAGGGUGACCGGCCACACUGGGACUGAGACACGGCCCAGACUCCUACGGGAGGCAGCAGUGGGGAAUAUUGCACAAUGGGCGCAAGCCUGAUGCAGCAACGCCGCGUGAGGGACGACGGCCUUCGGGUUGUAAACCUCUUUUAGUAGGGAAGAAGCGAAAGUGACGGUACCUGCAGAAAAAGCACCGGCUAACUACGUGCCAGCAGCCGCCGUAAAAC
rnacentral:rRNA from 1 species